rnacentral:rRNA from 1 species
UACGAAGGAGGCGAGCGUUAUCCGGAUUCACUGGGCGUAAAGCGCAUGUAGGCGGUUGGACAAGUCGUGUGUUAAAGCCCCUGGCUCAACUGGGGGAGGUCAUGCGAGACUGUGCGACUUGAGGGCAAGAGAGGCACGUGGAACUCCCGGUGUAGCGGUGGAAUGCGUAGAGAUCGGGAAGAACACCAGUGGCGAAGGCGACGUGCUGGGUUGCACCUGACGCUGAGAUGCGAAAGUGUGGGGAGCAAACGGG